UACGCAGGGCGCAAGCGUUGUCCGGAAUUAUUGGGCGUAAAGAGCUCGUAGGCGGCCUGUUGCGUCCGCUGUGAAAUCCCGGGGCUCAACCCCGGGCCUGCAGUGGAUACGGGCUGGCUAGAGGCAGGCAGGGGAGAACGGAAUUCCUGGUGUAGCGGUGAAAUGCGCAGAUAUCAGGAGGAACACCGGUGGCGAAGGCGGUUCUCUGGGCCUGUACUGACGCUGAGGAGCGAAAGCGUGGGGAGCGAACAGG
rnacentral:rRNA from 1 species